UCUAUCAUGAGUUUUAAGAACCGUUUUUAUUUUGUGUGUGUAUGCUAUACUCAUAAUGUGAUUGUAACAGAUAAAUUUGGACGGGAAGUGUAGCAGAAUAUACUUGUAAUGCAAUGGAAGAUACGACUACAAGUGCUGGUGUGAGAGUCACUACUUUGUAUUCCAUCCUAUUGACAAACUGCUAGUGUGGAGAGAAGAAUGCUUGCUAUUUUUUCAAAUGGGAUUUGCCUUCUGGGUCGAGCUCAUCACACGGGGCUUGCCUAGUGCGGGUUAUAUCUUCUGUGUGGUUUCAUUAUUAAACAGGAGCGAGAUUUAUCCUGUGCGCACCCGAAGGGUAGCGGCAGCUGCGGUUCCCUUGUCAUCAAAAAAGAAAAAAGAAUGCUGGCUGUUUUUUCAAAUAUCGAUCAACUGUUAAAUUGUUUAAUGGACUGUGUAAUGUUAAAUAUGUAUUGUUGCUCAAUAUUUAAGGGUAGUAUAGUUUCAA